rnacentral:rRNA from 1 species
GACGGAGGGUGCAAACGUUGUUCGGAAUUACUGGGCGUAAAGCGCGUGUAGGCGGUCCGAUAAGUCGGGUGUGAAACCCCUCGGCUCAACCGAGGAAUUGCACUCGAUACUGCCGGACUGGAGUUCGGGAGAGGGACGUGGAAUUCCCGGUGUAGAGGUGAAAUUCGUAGAUAUCGGGAGGAACACCGGUGGCGAAGGCGGCGUCCUGGACCGAUACUGACGCUGAGACGCGAAAGCGUGGGGAGCAAAC